rnacentral:rRNA from 1 species
UGGGGAAUAUUGCACAAUGGGCGCAAGCCUGAUGCAGCGACGCCGCGUGGGGGAUGAAGGCCUUAGGGUCGUAAACCCCUUUCAGCAGGGACGAAAAUGACGGUACCUGCAGAAGAAGCCCCGGCCAACUACGUGCCAGCAGCCGCGGUAAGACGUAGGGGGCGAGCGUUGUCCGGAUUUAUUGGGCGUAAAGAGCUCGUAGGCGGUUGCGUAAGUCGGAUGUGAAAACUCAGGGCUCAACCCUGAGACGCCAUCCGAUACUGCGCUGACUUGAAUCCAGUAGGGGAGUGUGGAAUUCCUGGUGUAGCGGUGAAAUGCGCAGAUAUCAGGAGGAACACCCAUGGCGAAGGCAGCACUCUGGGCUGGUAUUGACGCUGAGGAGCGAAAGCAUGGGUAGCGAACAGGAUUAGAUACCCAAGUAGUCCCUGAGCGGGCUGGCAAGGCGCAU